GAUGAACGCUGGCGGCGUGCCUAAUACAUGCAAGUCGAGCGAACAGAUGAGGAGCUUGCUCCUCUGACGUUAGCGGCGGACGGGUGAGUAACACGUGGAUAACCUACCUAUAAGACUGGGAUAACUUCGGGAAACCGGAGCUAAUACCGGAUAAUAUAUUGAACCGCGUGGUUCAAUAGUGAAAGACGGUCUUGCUGUCACUUAUAGAUGGAUCCGCGCUGCAUUAGCUAGUUGGUAAGGUAACGGCUUACCAAGGCAACGAUGCGUAGCCGACCUGAGAGGGUGAUCGGCCACACUGGAACUGAGACACGGUCCAGACUCCUACGGGAGGCAGCAAUAGGGAAUCUUCCGCAAUGGGCGAAAGCCCGACGGAGCAACGCCGCGUGAGUGAUGAAGGUCUUCGGAUCGUAAAACUCUGUUAUUAGGGAAGAACAAAUGUGUAAGUAACUAUGCACGUCUUGACGGUACCUAAUCAGAAAGCCACGGCUAACUACGUG
rnacentral:rRNA from 1 species